rnacentral:rRNA from 1 species
ACAACCAGGAUGUUGGCUUAGAAGCAGCCACUCAUUAAAAGAGUGCGUAAUAGCUCACUGGUCGAGUGACUCUGCGCGGAAAAUGUAACGGGGCUAAGUAUACAACCGAAGCUUGGGAUUGUCUAAAGACAGUGGUAGGGGAGCGUCGUGUAUGGGGUGAAGUCGCAUCGGAAGGAGCGGUGGACUGUACACGAGUGAGAAUGCCGGAAUGAGUAGCGAGAAUUAUGUGGGAAUCAUAAUGGCCGAAAAUCUAAGGUUUCUUGGGGAAGGUUCGUCCGCCCAAGGUAAGCCGGGAGCUAAGGCGAGGCCGAAAGGCGUAGUCGAUGCACAUACGGUUGAAAUUCCGUAGCCACCGAAACUUAAACCAGAAGGACACUUGGAGCUAUCCGAACCCGGGCGUUGGUUGACCCGGGCGUAAGGGACCGAAAUUAAGUAGGGAAGUCGGAGAAUGACGAGGCGAGAAAAGUUCUGGUGUAUGCUAAGGUGCCCGUACCGCAAACCGACACAGGUAGAUGAGGAGAGAAUCCUAAGGCCAACGGGAGAAGGGUUGUUAAGGAACUCGGCAAGUUGACCCCGUAACUUCGGAAUAAGGGGAGCCUCGAAAGAGGCCGCAGUGAAAAGGCCCAAGCAACUGUUUACCAAAAACACAGGUCUAUGCUAAAUCGAAAGAUGACGUAUAUGGGCUGACGCCUGCCCGGUGCCGGAAGGUUAAGAGGAGAUGUCAGCGCAAGCGAAGCAUUGAAUUGAAGCCCCGGUAAACGGCGGCCGUAACUAUAACGGUCCUAAGGUAGCGAAAUUCCUUGUCAGGUAAGUUCUGACCCGCACGAAAGGCGUAAUGAUUUGGGCACUGUCUCAACAGCCCGCCCGGCGAAAUUGUAGUACUGGUGAAGAUACCAGUUACCCGCAACUAGACGGAAAGACCCCAUGGAGCUUUACUGCAGCUUAAUACUGGAAUUCGGUAACCCAUGUACAGGAUAGGUGGGAGGCUUGGAAGCAGGGGCGUCAGCUCCUGUGGAGCCGCCGGUGGGAUACCACUCUUGGAUUGCUGAAUUUCUAACCUGCGGCCGUGAAUCCGGUCGGGGGACACUGUUAGGCGGGCAGUUUGACUGGGGCGGUCGCCUCCUAAAGAGUAACGGAGGCGCUCAAAGGUUGGCUCAGCACGGACGGAAAUCGUGCAGUGAGUG